AUUGAACGCUGGCGGCAGGCCUAACACAUGCAAGUCGAACGAGUGGCGGACGGGUGAGUAAUGUCUGGGAAACUGCCUGAUGGAGGGGGUUAACUACUGGAAACGGUAGCUAAUACAGCAUACCAUCAGAUGUGCCCAUAUGGGAUUGGCUAGUUGGUGGGGUAGCGGUGCACCAGGGCGACGAACCCUAGCUGGUCUGAGAGGAUGACCAGCCGCACUGGAACUGAGACACGGUCCAGACGCACAGGGUAGGCAGCCGUGGGGAAUAUUGAGGAAGGGGCGCAAGCCUGAGGACGUCAUGCCGCGUGUAUGAAGAAGGCAUUCGGGGUGUAAAGUACUGUCAGCGGGGAGGCGUUACCCGCAGAAGAAGCACCGGCUAACUCCGUGCCAGCAGCCGCGGUAAUAC
rnacentral:rRNA from 1 species